rnacentral:rRNA from 1 species
UAACACAUGCAAGUCGAACGGUGACGAGGAGCUUGCUCCUCCGAUCAGUGGCGAACGGGUGAGUAACACGUGAGCAACCUGCCCCUCACUCUGGGAUAACAGUUGGAAACAGCUGCUAAUACCGGAUACGACACAGACAGGCAUCUGUACUGUGUGGAAAGUUUUUCGGUGAGGGAUGGGCUCGCGGCCUAUCAGUUUGUUGGUGGGGUAAUGGCCUACCAAGACGACGACGGGUAGCCGGCCUGAGAGGGCGACCGGCCACACUGGGACUGAGACACGGCCCAGACUCCUACGGGAGGCAGCAGUGGGGAAUAUUGCACAAUGGGCGAAAGCCUGAUGCAGCGACGCCGCGUGAGGGAUGACGGCCUUCGGGUUGUAAACCUCUUUCAGCAGGGAAGAAGCGAAAGUGACGGUACCUUCAGAAGAAGCACCGGCUAACUACGUGCCAGCAGCCGCGGUAAUACGUAGGGUGCGAGCGUUGUCCGGAAUUAUUGGGCGUAAAGGCUUGUAGGCGGUUUGUCGCGUCUGCUGUGAAAAUCCGGGACUCAAUUCCGGACUUGCAGUGGGUACGGGCAGACUAGAGUACGGUAGGGGAGACUGGAAUUCCUGGUGUAGCGGUGAAAUGCGCAGAUAUCGGAGGAACACCGAUGGCGAAGGCAGGUCUCUGGGCCGUAACUGACGCUGAGAAGCGAAAGCAUGGGGAGCGAACAGGAUUAGAUACCCUGGUAGUCCAUGCCGUAAACGUUGGGCGCUAGGUGUGGGGCUCAUUCCACGAGCUCUGUGCCGCAGCUAACGCAUUAAGCGCCCCGCCUGGGGAGUACGGCCGCAAGGCUAAAACUCAAAGGAAUUGACGGGGGCCCGCACAAGCGGCGGAGCAUGCGGAUUAAUUCGAUGCAACGCGAAGAACCUUACCAAGGCUUGACAUGUACCGGAAACAUCUAGAGAUGGGUGCCCC